rnacentral:lncRNA from 1 species
GGCCAUUCGUAUUCACCAGAAUGUAUAUCCACCCCUUUAUUUUUCUGAGCAUCGUUAAUACAAAACAGCAAGGAGCGUGUGAGGGGACGCUGAAAAGCAGGGGGAGUUCAAAGACGGCCUGAGGAGGAUCUGGGGUCCAGAAAACCAAAUAAAGCGAGCUCAGGGAAAAAAAAAAAAAAAAAAAAGGCUGUAAAUCAACGCGGUUGCAGACCACCGCCAUCUACAGAGCGAGCUGGCAGGUAAAAGAAGGCUUUCCAACCCGAAGAGCGGCAGCGAAGCUCCGCCGCUGCUUCUCCCUCCUCAGGCCCGCCUCCCCUCAGGCCGCCCCGGGCACGCCCCUCAGGAAAGCUCCCGGCUUCCGCCCCUUUGACAGGCCGCGGCCCGGCCCAGGCGGGAAAGCGGCCGGGGAGGCCCCGGCAGGACUUCACACGGCUGUCCUUUGGAACGCUGGAUGGGGAGCAGGUCCUUUCUCUGAGCCUGAGCCUGAGCCCAGGGCUGGCUUCUCAGACGGAGGUGUGAGAGCCCUCUGCUUCCAUGUGCAUGCGGGGAGCAACUCAAGGAUCCUUUUGCAGAAUGAUGAGUAA